AAUUUGCUACAAUUUUAGUGAUGUCAGUGGAAACAUGUCAAUCGAGCACACAAGUCCAAAGGAGUGAUUUAGUUCACAGAGAUUCCGAUAAUUAGUAUCGCCCAUGAGCAAGCGAUGUAGUCCAGAGAAGGAAUCGAGCUUAUCUAAUGGUAAAAUGUAUAGUUUAAGUCAGUGCCUUGCUGAAAACCAAAAGCUUAAGAAUUCUAGAAUUUUCUCUAUAUUUUUAGGACCGAAGUAGCAUUUCCUAGCAAUUACCUCUUCCUUUUAUUCUCCUCCAAGCAUAGGUCUAUCAUUUGGAGGGUACUAAGGGCCUUCCUUUAUUCCUUCUACAUUUGCACGGAAGUUUCCAGGAGUUAUAUAUAUCAUCUUUGCCUUCAAACUUGAACAACAGAAACAAACCAAUCCAGAGCCCACAAAUAAGUUUCUAGUUUAGCUUAAUCUCCUUCUACUAACUCGCCCUCACAUGACACAUCAUAGCGAGCCCCGCUACAAAUGAGUAGUAGUUCCUUAUCAUUCAAUGAGCAUCUUGUAUUUUAUAAAAAUUAGGGGCAGGGAGGUUUUCGCACUAGUGGACAGAUUUUACGGUGGAGGGACAUUAGGCCAAGCGCCGAAGAAUCAAUACAAUGUCCCACAGCAGUUUGAGCACAAGGUGUAUCAAGACGCUUCCUUUUCCAGCCAUGAGAACGUAAUUGACAGCAAGAAAGAGUGUUGAUCAUGGAGUACUAUAAAAAUGAGGUUUGUUGGCUGGCGUUUUAGGUUCUAGCGCUGUCUAACUUGUAAUGUUUCAAGUAACUUAUUAGGACGUAGAAGUAACGGCUGUACUAGUCCUCGUUACAGCUUUCAUCAUGUCAGUCAUUUCGAACUCCAGUACAGUGUUUAAGUUUGCCUUUUGAUUUCCGGCUUUCUAAAGGUUAGUUGUAUACUUGGAUGUGCCUAAGCCACAUAUUGGACCUCCUUUAUACUAAACGUUCCACUUUUUACUCUCUCGUUCUGGUGAAGUUCCUGCCAAUCUAUGUUGUAAUUGUCCACUGGAUCGGUGUGAAAAGAAGACUUCAACCGUUUUUGAAGUGAAUGAUCACAAGUUAAAAAACUUGCGAAAGUUCUGGUCCAGAGACCAUCCUAGAACUAGGAGGGCAUUGGACACUGUGGUUCCAUUGCUGAGUUGCUUCUGCAUGAUUUAGCUCAUGAUCUUGAGUAAGAUUCGACAAAGGCUGGCGAAGCAGAAAAUUCCAGUUACGCAUCGGCUGUAAAUCUAGCAGGCGUCUGCAACGUGUAAAUACAAAGAUGGACCAUUCUUUGACUUUUUGGUGCAAUUGCAUUCUUUUUCCUGUCUA
rnacentral:lncRNA from 1 species